rnacentral:rRNA from 1 species
UACGGAAGGCAGCAGUGGGGAAUAUUGCACAAUGGGCGCAAGCCUGAUGCAGCCAUGCCGCGUGUAUGAAAAAGGCCUUCGGGUUGUAAAGUACUUUCAGUCGUGAGGAAGGUGUUAAGGUUAAUAACCUUAGCAAUUGACGUUAGCGACAGAAGAAGCACCGGCUAACUCCGUGCCAGCAGCCGCGGUAAUACGGAGGGUGCGAGCGUUAAUCGGAAUUACUGGGCGUAAAGGGCACGCAGGCGGUUAAUUAAGUUGGAUGUGAAAUCCCCGGGCUUAACCUGGGAAUGGCAUUCAAGACUGGUUAGCUAGAGUCUUGUAGAGGGGGUAGAAUUCCAUGUGUAGCGGUGAGAUGCGUAGAGAUGUGGAGGAAUACCGGUGGCGAAGGCGGCCCCUGGGACAAAGGACUGACGCUCAUGUGCGAAAGCGUGGGGAGCAAACG